rnacentral:lncRNA from 1 species
UUUACCAUAUUUUUAAUAGUAGAACUUAAUUACAACUUCUAAAUAAAAUGUUAUUUUUGAAACACCUGUGUCUGUGUGUGUGUGUGUGUGUGUGUGUGUGUGAAAAUCACUUAUCUUUGGCCCCAGAAAUGGAGGUGUAUCUGUCUUUAAUCUAGAUACAAGGUGACCAGCUACUGACAUGUGGGCAACAUCCUGACUGGACUUUAAAAAGUCAAAUGGCUUCAAGACAAUCAAGGACUGGACAUUCUGCAUACCACUGGGAAGCACUUCUGGGAAGCACUUCUGGAAGGAAAAGGACAAGUUGCCAGUCUUCUACUUGUCAGUAUCCUUAUGAAUAGACAAUAAAGAAAUUGCUGACAAAGUUCACAGAUGUCACAAGUGCAGGUGGAAGAUUGAUGGCUAAUAACCAUGUUAUAAGCUGGGGAAACAAGCAUGAAACAGGAAAGACAAAAUACAUCAUACUCAUAUCCUGUACUUUCUGUAAGUGCUGCUAGCUCAUCAUCCUGAGGCUCACCAUGCAGACUAACCUCUAGGUGAUCAGACUUGAGAUGAUUCAGCACAGCUGGUCUAGGAGAAACUUCCUGUGAUAGGGCUUCCUGAUGAACAAGGUGGUAACACUGUUACAUAGCAGCUUUGCAGGUUAACCCAAAAAAUACUUUCAUGCGAUGGUUCUUUAAAAUUCCAAAACACUACUUUUUCCUCACUCACAAUGAUAAGCUGUUGAUCAUGAAAGUGAGAAAUGAAUAAUUGAUGAAGCAUUUUGAUAAAUGAAAUCGAUUAAGGAAGAGGGGACAUGAGAGAAGGAGAAGGGGGAAUGAGAGAAUGGAGCAAUACCGAAAUGAUUAAUAAUUAGUCCAUAUCCAAUAGACUCAAUGCACUGCAAGUGUUCCUGAAUUGCAACCAAGGUUUUUGUAUCAAUUAAUGAUGUGGUCAGGUGCCCAACUGUGCAUCUAUAAUUACAUCAGUAGUUCUUUAUUUCAGUAACAGUUGAAAGUAUUAAUCAUGGAACAGUCUCCUCUAUAUCUAAAUUUGCAAGUGGUGCUGACAAAUAGGAGCAUAAUUGUAGAAUGAACAGUUGAUGCUGUGAUCCCAAUGACUGCCCUGCAACUGUUUCAGAGGGUCUUUGCUUC